ACUCCUACGGGAGGCAGCAGUGGGGAAUAUUGCACAAUGGAGGAAACUACUGAUGCAGCAACGCCGCGUGGAGGAUGACACUUUCGUAGCGUAAACUCCUUUUAUUAUAGGAAGAUAAUGACGGUACUAUAUGAAUAAGCACCGGCUAACUCCGUGCCAGCAGCCGCGGUAAUACGGAGGGGUGCAAGCGUUACUCGGAAUCACUGGGCGUAAAGAGCGUGUAGGCGGGGUUAUUAAGUCAGAAGUGAAAUCCUAUGGCUCAACCAUAGAACUGCUUUUGAAACUGGUAACCUAGAGUAUGGGAGAGGUAGAUGGAAUUUCUGGUGUAGGGGUAAAAUCCGUAGAGAUCAGAAGGAAUACCGAUUGCGAAGGCGAUCUACUGGAACAUUACUGACGCUGAGACGCGAAA
rnacentral:rRNA from 1 species